CCUUCCCCGCAGGCUGCGCAGCACCUUUCCCACCUAGCCAUCACCCCAGUCCUUGAUUUGAGCCCCCACAGUUUAGAGUUUGCUGUAGCUGCUGCACUGAACUAAUACAUUGCUCUUAUUGUUUGAGUUCAGAAUGUCCCCACAGACUCAUGUUCCAAUGUUGGUUCCCUAUCUGGUGGCAGUAUUUUAGGCGGCAAUAGACUCUGUAGGAGGUGGGGCAUAGAAGUAGAUCUGUAAACAGAGGCAGAGAUUCUCUUUUGUCCCAACUGUCAGGUCACAAAUAAACACACAAAAGCUUAUAUUAAUUACAGAAUGCUUGCCCUAUAGCUCAGGCUAAUUACUAACUAGCUCUUAUAACUUAAAUUAACCCAUUUCUAUUAAUCUAUAUUUUGCCACAUGGUUCGUGGCCUUACCUGUUCUCUAGUACUUUUUGUUCCUCUUGCAGCUGACUCACAUCUCCCCUGACUCUGCCCUUUGUCCUCUCUGUAUUUUCAGUUUGGUUUUUCCACCUCGCCUUAUUCUGCCUUGAUAUAGGCCAAAUAGAAUGAUAAGGGAGUUGGCUUUUGAAGGCCAAACCUUGUUCCUGGUUCUGGUGCCUUUCUGUCUUGUGGCAUACAUUCCCACCAGCUCAGAUGAUGCCCUCGCUGUAGCCUUGCCUGUUGGAAGAUUGUGAGCCAAUAUAACAGUGUAAGGCACCUGGCGGUGAUGGCACACACCUUUAGUCCCAGCACUUGGAUGGCAGAGGCAGGCAGAUCUCUGAGUUUGAGGCUAACUUGGUCUACAGAGAGACACAGAGAAAUCCUAUCUUGCAAGAAAAAAAAAAUUAAGCCAGGGUCUCCUUGUAGCCCAGACUGGCCUCAAACUCAUGUCACCAGGUAGCAGAUGACCUUGAGUUUCUGACCUCCUGCUCACACAGGCUAAAUGCUGGGGUUUCAGGUAAGUACAACAUGCAAAUGCAGUGCUGGGGAACCCAGGCCUUGAACAUCCUGGGCAAGCACUUUGCCAACCAAGUCACAUGUCCAGCCUCCAAAAGUAACCCUUGAAGUUGUUUCUCUCAGACAUUCUGUCCCAGCAAUGAGAAGGCGACCAGUAAGGGUUGGCAAGACGGCUCAGCAGAUAAAGGUAUCGGCUGCCAAGCCCCAGAACCUUGAGUUUGAUCCCUGGAUCUCACAUGGUAGAAGGAGAAAACUGACACUGGCAAGCUGUCCUCUGAACACACACACACACACACACGCAUGGUUGCCUGAAUGUAGACACAAAAUAAAUAGGCAUCAUAAUUUUUUGUUGUUGUUGUUUUUUUCGAGACAGGGUUUCUCUGUGGCUUUGGAGCCUGUCCUGGAACUAGCUCUGUAGACCAGGCUGGUCUCGAACUCACAGAAAUCUGCCUGCCUCUGCCUCCCUCCCGAGUGCUGGGAUUAAAGGUGUGCGCCACCAUCGCCUGGCAUGCAUCAUAAUUUUUUUUAAGUGACCAGUACAACCUCCUCCUCCAGCAAGUCCUAGAAAGUCAUAGUGGUCUCGAACUGCCCUCUCAUCCUUCCUCUGCCAUACUCCUCCACCAAACUCUGUCCCCCUAAGCCACCACGAAGGACCCACUUUGCUUAACCAGACAGCAGUUUCUUAACUGACUCUCGUAGAAAUACUGGUAGGAAAGGAGAACGGGCUGUGAGACUCUGAUUUCCGGUUUCUGUUGCUGUGAGCAAGCCCCAUAACCACAGUCACUUGGGGAGGAGAGGGUUUUCGUAUUACAGUUCUCAGCGGUUCAUCACUGAGGGAUGUCAGAGCAGGCACUUGGGGGCAGGAGCUGAUGCAGAGACCAUGGAGGGUGCUGCUUACUGAUUUGUUCCCCGUAACUUCUUUCUCAGUCUGUUUUGAGAGCACCCAGGACCACCAGCACAGGUGUGGCACUGCCCACAGUAAGCGGCGUCUUCCCACGUCAAUCAUCCACCAAGGAAAAGCCCCACAGGCUUUCCCACCAGCAAAUUUGGUGGGGACAUUUUCUCCAUUGGGGCUCCCUCUCUCAAAAUAACUCUGGCUUGUGCCAAGUUGCCAGCACAGUCUCCCAGAGGCCUGUGUGUCAAAGGUCAGACUCUCAGGGUUUACAGAUGGGUCCUCUGCAAGGGACGAGCCAGUUAUCCUGCCUGACCAAGGUCUUAACGGCCACUGGCACCUCUAGGACAAUGUUUGGAUCUUCUCUCAUGAUGAGAAUGGGGUCCCUGUCAUUGACUCACAGCCUGUUUGUGUUGAUGUAUGCUAGCAAGGAGAAGGAACUCUCUAGAAGUUUGGCGGCCCCUAUACAAGCACCUCCCCUUGAGUGUGGUAGAACUCUGUGGUCUGCCAAGAGAGCAUGGCAAAAGUGGUGGGAUGCCACUGCUGGAGGUAGGUUAUAAAAAGAGAUUCUCUCUUCUCUCUCUCUCUCUCUCUCUCUCUCUCUCUCUCUCUCUCUCUCCCCACAAAACACACACACACACACACACACACAUCCUCUCUCAAUCUUGUUCUUUUACUCUUUCUCAGGAUCUCACUACACAGCCCAGGUCAGCCUCAAAAUCAUGGUAAUCCUCCUGCCUCCACUUCCAGAGUACUGAGGUUUUAAUCCAGCACCACCCACACCUGGCUGUAUUUCUGUUUUCAUUGUAAUGUGUCUAUUGGCUAUUUGGACUUUCAUUCAAUUUUUGUUUUAUUUAUUUGUUUUAAAGAUUUAUUUAUUUCAUUAUAUGUGUUGAGUGUUUUGCAUGCAUAUGCACUAGGUGCAUGCCUGGUGCCUGCAGAGGUAAGAAGAGGACAUCAAAUCCUUGGAACCAGAGUUACAGACGAUUGUGAGCUGCUGUGUGGGUGCAGGGAGUUGAACCUGGGUCCACUUCAAGGACAAUAGGAGCUAUUAACUGCUGAGCCAUCUCUCCAGCCCUUGUUUAAUUUUAAAUUCACAAAUGAAAACUACAUGUGUAUUUAUAGUGUGCCCAUGCGGUUUGGGGACAUGUGUGCCCAUGGGGUGUGGGGACAUGUGGACUGUGGACAAUCUAAAUGGAGCUACCCACCAUGCUCUUUCAACUUUGCCUCAGAGCAAAGGCGACUCGAGGGCAAUAGAAACUGCCGUGUGGCAUUUGAGUUUUUCUCUUUUCCAGCCUAGGGACAUGUGGUCCCCUGCUCCUUCUCAGUGCUGUGCGGUGUAGGACGGCAGACACCCCAGGCUGCGGCAGGAGGUGACAAGAGCACAGAUAUCUCCGGGCACUGUGUUGCUAAGCCAGGAUGUUGGGUGGCUAGGUGUAUCAAACACAUCUAGUUAUUGUUCAACUCAGGGCUGGGAAGGCAUUCAUAAAGCGCUUGUUUUGCAGGUGUGAGGACCCAAGUUUGAUCACUAGAACCCGCAUUAAAAAAAAGUCAGGAGUGUUGGCCUGCUUGGAGCCCUAGUGGGGGAGUGGGGACAGGGGAUCUCUGGGGCUGACCAGCAGCUAGUCUCCGGAAUUGGAAGUGGUGAACUCCAGGAGCAGUGAAGAACCCAGAGAGUCAGAAGAGAGAACCGGAUCCCUUGGAGCUUGAAUUACGUUGUAAUCUGUCCAACUUGGGUACUAGAAACUGAACUUUGGCCUUCCAGAAGUGCACCUAACUGCUGAGCCAUCUUCCCUGCCUCAAGACUGCCAUUUUCUAAUCAUAAAAUCAAUCCCAGCACACAGUAGGUCCUCAUUAUUGCGUAGUGAAUUAAGAUUUUCGAUGAGGUGACCUUUAGACCCUGCGUGCAGGUCCCUGUCUGCUCAACCUGAGCUACAGUCACCAUGCACACGGCCAGCACUCUUUGAGCAAUUGCUGAAUGCACAGGUCAUGUGAUCACAGGACAGAUGUUCCCAUUUUGUCUUCAGAAGAACUGCUGCCACCGUCCUGUUUACAGUCAGAAGGGCACAGGUACACAGCGGCAAAGCCAUGAGGUUUUUUGUGUGUGGGGCAGAGUUGUGUAGGCACAUCCAUGUGUGUUCCUGUCUGUGGAGGUCAGAAGCCCAUCUCAUAUGACAUUCUUUUUGUUCGUUUGGUUUUUUUAGAGAUAGGAUCUCUCUAAGUAGCUCUGGUUGUCCUGGAAUUCACUAUGUAGACUAGGUUGGCCUCGAACUCAGAGAGAUCUACUUGCCUCUGCCUCCCAGUACUAACAUUAAAGAUUAAAGGUGUACACAACCAUACAAGCAUGCCUGAUUUAGACAUCAUUUUUUUGUUUGUUUGGUUUUUUUUUCCCCCUUGUAUCCCUGAUUGUCCCAGGCUGGACUCAGAUUCACAAGUGCUGCCUCCCAAGUGCUGGGAUUAAAGGUGUGCACCACCGCCUGCUAGGUGUCAUUUUUACGUGCGUCUGUUUGCAUGUCGUGUGUGGAUGCAUAAAUGCCAAGGCAUAUGUAUGGAGUUCAGAGGAAUUGUUAGAGUGGGUUCUCUCCUUCCAUCAUGUGAGGUCCAGGAAUUAAACUCAGGUCAUCAGGAUUGGCAGGAAGCGCCUUUACCCCCCCCCCCCCCAGCCAUCUUGAUACCCUUAAUUUCUUUCUUUCUCUCACUGGCCUGCGUCUCUUUGAUUAGGCUGGUCAGUGAGCUCCAGCAAUCAGCCUGCCUCUGCCUCCCCGGCAACACUGCUUGCCAUUAUGCCUAUUUUUAAAUAUGGUUCUGGGGACUGAACUCAGGCCCUCUGACUUGCACAGCAGGCACUUAACAAUAGAACCAUCGCUCCAACCCCCACGUCACAAGUGUCCUAAAAGUGCAAAUCCCAGCCAGGACUGUCACCCAAGUGCUGGUGUCUCCAGUGAAACUCGGCUCCUGCGAGAGAGGGAUGUGAUAACACACAUCUGUUUGUAAUCCCGGCACUCAGGAGGUAGAGGCAGGAGGAUCAGGAGUUCGGGGCCAGUCCUAGCCAAAUCACGAUGAUGACGAUGCAAAAAGGAAUUCAGCUUGUGUGUCCAGUGGCUCAUUUUCUUGUGGCACAAUGAACCCUGUCCCCUCUCCCUUCCUCCUUCCAUUAAAGUGAGAUCAAGAAUUGUCUUAAUGGCCAGGCAGUGGUGGUGCACGCUUUUAAUCCCAGCACUUGGGAGGCAGAGGUUGGUAGAUCUCUGUGAGUUCAAAGCCAGCCUGGUCUACAAAGUUAGUUCCAGGACAGCUAGGGCUACACAGAGAAAUCCUAUAUCAGAAAACAAAAACAAAAGCAAACAAAGAGCUGGCAUAAUGAGCAUGAGCCAGCAGGCCCAACUGAGCAGGGCCAGCUCUGCCUCAGAGAGAGUGAAGUCCAGGUGGAUGUCUUCAGGACACACAGAGAGAUGGUUUCAUGGAUGGAGGAGGGUCCUGAGAUAUCUCUGUAGCCUGUGCCCAGAGAGGGCACUGAACCCUGACAAACACAUGGUCACAGGUGCCAAGUCUGCAAGACAAUGGAGUCUGUGUACUGCAGACCGCAUGUCUACCCUGAUCUGCAUCCCCCCCGAGGCUGUGGGAGGACAGCGGCACAGGUAAGUCAUCUUGACCUCCUGCUCUGGAGGUCAGAGGCCACAGUAGAGACAUUGGGCUGAGCCAGACUCUCUCUGAAACCCAAGCCUUUUGUGUCUCCUGCUGACGUCUGGUUCAUACCAAAUGCUACUGGUCCCUGGCUAGGAUAUACUCUUGUAAGAUGUCCCUGAGGUGGAACUGUCCUAUCCUCUCCCACCCUGUGUCUCAGAGUCUUCUUUGUUUUUGCACUCUCCAGGACUUCUUUGUUGCAAGGCUUGUGCUUUACUACUGAGCACACCAGCCCCUCAGCACUGGUGGAUCCUAGGCAUGGAUUCCAGGAAGGCACUUCUGAGACCCAUUCAAACGGGUCUCACUCUGAAGCCCAAGCUGGCCUGGAACUCUUGCCUCAGGCACGUCCCAUUACGAUGAGUCACUUGACAGAGAGGGAAACUGAGGCUCUGACCUGCCUGAGCUCCUCCACCCCCAAUCCGUGGCUCUUGGAAGUGAACCCUGGCAAUUUGAAGCAGCUGCUGCAGACUGGGAGGCUCCGGGCGUUGGCCAGAAGAGGGCACCAGACCUCAUUACAGAUGGUUGUGAGCUACCACGUGGUGGCUGGGAAUUGAACUCAGGACCUUUGGAAGAGCAGGUAAUGCUCUUAACCUCUGAGCCAUCUCUCCAGCCCAGCUAAACUUUUCGUACACUGUGAAGGUAUGUUUCUUCCAAGGUAUGUUGUAGGAAACAUGCACACUGUGUGAAGAUGAACUGCUGUGAUUGGUGUAAUAAAAAGUUGAAUGGCCAAUAGCUAGGCGGGAGGUAUGGGCAGGUCUUCCAGGCGGAGAGAGAACUCUGGGAACAAAAAGGUGGAGUUGCCAGCCAGGCACCUAGGAAGUAGCAUGGGCAGUAUGAAGAGAUGAGGUAACGAGCCACACGAUGGAAUGUAGACUAAAAUAAACAGGUUAAUUUACGUUAUAAGAGCUAGUUGGGAACAGACCUAAGUUAAGGCCAAGCUUUCACGGUUAAUAAGAAAUCUCCAUAUCAUUUUGUGCGAGCUGGCUGUUCACAGACGUCUGACUACAGGAACUACGACAAACCCAGCCUGUCAUGCUGAGUGUGGUAGGCCCUGUCCUCAUUUCUAGCUCCAGUUUUUCUCUUUUUAAAAAACAGUUAAUGUAAUGAGUGUUUUACCUGUGCAUGCUUGGUGCCUGAGGGAGCCAGAAAAGGGCAGUGGAUCCCUGAGCCUGGAGUUCUAGACGGUUGUGAGCUGCCGUAUGGGUAGUGGGAACCAAACCAAGGUCUUCUAGAAGAGCAACUUAACUGCUGAGCCACCCUCAGAUUUUAUUUUUCUAAAAAAUGUAUACUAUUACUACUACUACUACUACUAUUAUUAUUAUUAUUGAGGCAGGGUUUUACUGUGUAGCCUGGCUGUCCCAGAACUUGCUUUGUAGACCAGGCUGGCAUUGAUCUCACAGAGAUCCACCUGUCUCUGCCUCCCUAGUGCUGGGAUUAAAAGUGUGUGCCACCACCUGUUUUUUUAUUAUAAUGUGUAUGUGUGGACGUGUGGACGAGGGCUGGUGCCUCUGGAAGAGCUGUACACACUCUUAAUCACUGAGCUGUCUCUCCAGCACCCAUUGUUUUUAUAUUUUUAUUUUAUUUUUCAUUUUUCAAGACAGGGUUUCUGUGUAGCCCAGGUUGUCCUGAGUUCAGGACCAGGCUAACCUUGGUCUCAAAGAUCUGCCUGCCUCUGCUUCCUUAGUGCUGGGAUUAAAGCAUGCAGGCAUACAGCGCCACCCUGGCCCGUUAUUUUUACUUUUAAUUAUGUGUAUAUGUGUGUGGGCGUGUACACAUAAACAUAGAGCCUGCAAAGGCCAAAGGAGGGCUUUGGAUCUCCUGGAGUCACAGGCCCACGUGAGCUGCUGUGGGGGUGCUGGGAACCAGAUUCAGGUUCUGUAGCAAGAGUAUGUGCUCUUAAGCAACAAGCCAUCCCUCUCCAGCCUGGAUCAACGUUUCUGUAUGUUCUUCCCUGGCCCCCUCUUCUCCUGGAGGCACAGCGUCUUAGAUACCUUUCUAUUGCUGUGCUAAGAUACCACGAACAAGGCAGCUUCUAGAAGAAAGUACUUAACUUAGGGCUUACCGUUUCAGAGGGUUCCAGUCCAUGGCCAUCACGGUGGGGAGCAAUGCAGUGGGCAGGCAGGCAUGGCGGUGGAGCAGUAGCUGAGAGCUUACAUCUUGAGACACAAGCCAAAAACCAGAGAGGUAAAUGGGAAUGGUAAAGGCUUUUGAAACCUCCUCCAACAAGGCCACAUCUCUUGAUCUUUUCCAAGCAGUUCCACCGAAUGGAGAACAAGAUGAGCUUUUGGGGCCAUCCUCACCGAAACCACACACGUGCUAUGGAACAGUGGAUAGAAAGAACAUGUGGCGUCAGCAGGAACACACGCUCCUGGGCCUGGCAGCUUCACUGUGUGUCUCUAGCUGCGCCCUAACCUUUCUGUUUGCGCUCUCACAAAGCUGAGAUGAUAUAUUCCUUCUUUGUAACACUAGUGAGGGUUAAAAGUGGCUUAACACAUGCAAAGGGCUUAAAGCAGCCACAACACAAUUGCUGCUCAAUAAAUCUGUCGUUUGUAUUUCGGAAGCCAUGGCUGUGAGUGUUAGCUUGUCCGUUCUCUCUCCUCUCCCCUCCCCUCUUUUACGUCUGUCUGUAUCUCUCUUUGCACUUGCAUGCGUAUGUGUAAAGGUCAGAGGACAACUUCUGGUAACACUCUGCCAUCUUAUGAUUUGAGACUGGGUCUCUCAUUGUCCCAGAACUCACCAGUUAGGCAAGGCUGACUGACUUAGAGAUGCACCUGUAUCAGCUUUCCCUACACUGAGAUUCUAAGUGUGAACCACUGUACCACUGCGCCUGGUUUUGUUAUGUGAGUUCUGGAGACGGAACUCAGAUUAGCCUGGGCUAUACAUGUGCAUUUACAUGUGCACACUGCACACCACACACACAUGCGCGCGCACACAUACACACACACACACAGUAAUUUUAAAGGGAACAACAGCCCCCUCUUCUUCCUCUUCUAUUUUGAGGCUGGCCCUCCCUUUGUAACUCAGGCUGGCUUUAAACUCAAGAUCCUGCUGAGCCCCGUCGUGCAGGAUUCCAAGCCUGUGCCACUAUAUUCCUUUAUCUUUCAUUUGCUUCUUUGUUUUGAGGUGAGCUCUCAGGUGGCCCAGACCAGCCUCUAACUUAGCUGAAGACGACUUUGACCUCCAGGUGUCCGGCCUUCCCUUCCUGAGUGCUGGGAUGAUAGGCGUGCCUCACCACAUCUGGCUUUAUGUGGACUGAAGGUAGAAUUCAGGACUUUGUACAUGCUAGACAAGGGCUACAGCCCCAUUCCCUGUCCUGACGUGGGAAGUCCUUCUGGAUAUGUGUUGCUUUUAUUGGUUGAUGAAUAAAGCUGUUUUGGGCAAUGGCUUAGUAGAGUAAAGCCAGGGAGGAAAUCCAAACAGAGAUAUAGAAGGAAAGUAGGUGGAGUCAAGGAAGCUGCCAAAGGAGAAAGAUGCUAAACCUUACUGGUGAGCCACAGCCUCGUGGCGAUACACAGAUGAAUAGAAAUGGGUUAAGAUAUAAGGGCUAACUAGGAAUAUGCCUGAACUCUUGGCCAAACAAUGUUGUAAUUAAUAUAAUUUUUCCAGCCUGUGGAGAUGGCGUAGUGGUUUAGAGACUGGCUGCUCCUCCAUCCACAGGACCCAGGUUCCAUUCCCAGCACCCGCAGGACAGCUCACAGUCAUUUGUAACUCCAGUUCCAGAGGAUCUGACAUCCACUUCUGGUCUCUGUGGACACGAGGCACGCAUGUGGUGGUAGAUAUAUGUGCAGACAAAACAUCCACACACAGACAUAGCCUGGAUGACCUUUAACAUCUGAUGCUCCUGCCUCCUUCCAGUACACCUGGUUUAUUCUCUGCUAGGAAUGGAGCCCAGGGCUUUGCACAUGUUAGGAAAGGACUCUGUAGUGAUUCCCCUGUAGGCUUUACAGCAGGCAGGGGAGAAAAGGAUCCACAGAGAGAUAGGACCAAAGCUGGACCAGGACUUCUAGAGUCUGGCCCAGAUAAUUUUACUGCAACCAUAUUUAAUCACAGCACAAUUUAGGGAAACCGUGUUGUGCCUAGAUUACAACCCCCAGAGAGACCACCAAAAACCAGAGAAGUCCAGACUGCAACUGCAAGGUUUAUUGUUAAUUGUUAGGGUAAUGUGAGCUAGCACGGAACUUGUCUCCUGCACUCCUAGCUGCGAGGCAGGGAGGAGUUAGAGUUCUUCUGUGGGGUUAGCUUUUUUAAAAACAAAAACUACAAGCCCUUACAGCGGUCAGGAGUUUUGGCGCAAUUUUUAUUUCUACUUCUUGAAGGUCUUUGCUUUUUCUCAUCCUGAUUUGUUUUGUCUUUAGAGUCAGGUUACGCUGUUCCUGAGUUGGGGCAUCUUGUGGUUUAUCAGUCACCACCAGAUGGUCAGGCGUCCUGAAUCUUGUGCUUUAGACUUUCCCGAGAAGGAGGGGGGGGGCACCAUCAGCUCUGGGAACAUGAAGCUAGUCUGGGGGUUUUGAUUUUAAAACACUCUGCCAGGAAAUUCCUUUGAGAGUAAGGGGUGAGGGUCUUACAAAAGUAUUCAGAUAACAAUUAACUCAGUCCCAAGUGUACAGAAUUUUUUUUUUCGAGUCAGGGUUUCUCAGUACCUUAUGGAGCCAGUCAUGGAACUCACUCUGUAGACCAGACUGGCUUCGAACUCACAAAGAUCUGCCUGCCUCUGCCUCCCAAGUGCUGGGAUUAAAGGUGUGCGCCACCAUCGCCUGGCAUGCAUCAUAAUUUUUUUUAAGUGACCAGUACAACCUCCUCCUCCAGCAAGUCCUAGAAAGUCAUAGUGGUCUCGAACUGCCCUCUCAUCCUUCCUCUGCCAUACUCCUCCACCAAACUCUGUCCCCCUAAGCCACCACGAAGGACCCACUUUGCUUAACCAGACAGCAGUUUCUUAACUGACUCUCGUAGAAAUACUGGUAGGAAAGGAGAACGGGCUGUGAGACUCUGAUUUCCGGUUUCUGUUGCUGUGAGCAAGCCCCAUAACCACAGUCACUUGGGGAGGAGAGGGUUUUCGUAUUACAGUUCUCAGCGGUUCAUCACUGAGGGAUGUCAGAGCAGGCACUUGGGGGCAGGAGCUGAUGCAGAGACCAUGGAGGGUGCUGCUUACUGAUUUGUUCCCCGUAACUUCUUUCUCAGUCUGUUUUGAGAGCACCCAGGACCACCAGCACAGGUGUGGCACUGCCCACAGUAAGCGGCGUCUUCCCACGUCAAUCAUCCACCAAGGAAAAGCCCCACAGGCUUUCCCACCAGCAAAUUUGGUGGGGACAUUUUCUCCAUUGGGGCUCCCUCUCUCAAAAUAACUCUGGCUUGUGCCAAGUUGCCAGCACAGUCUCCCAGAGGCCUGUGUGUCAAAGGUCAGACUCUCAGGGUUUACAGAUGGGUCCUCUGCAAGGGACGAGCCAGUUAUCCUGCCUGACCAAGGUCUUAACGGCCACUGGCACCUCUAGGACAAUGUUUGGAUCUUCUCUCAUGAUGAGAAUGGGGUCCCUGUCAUUGACUCACAGCCUGUUUGUGUUGAUGUAUGCUAGCAAGGAGAAGGAACUCUCUAGAAGUUUGGCGGCCCCUAUACAAGCACCUCCCCUUGAGUGUGGUAGAACUCUGUGGUCUGCCAAGAGAGCAUGGCAAAAGUGGUGGGAUGCCACUGCUGGAGGUAGGUUAUAAAAAGAGAUUCUCUCUUCUCUCUCUCUCUCUCUCUCUCUCUCUCUCUCUCUCUCUCUCUCCCCACAAAACACACACACACACACACACACACAUCCUCUCUCAAUCUUGUUCUUUUACUCUUUCUCAGGAUCUCACUACACAGCCCAGGUCAGCCUCAAAAUCAUGGUAAUCCUCCUGCCUCCACUUCCAGAGUACUGAGGUUUUAAUCCAGCACCACCCACACCUGGCUGUAUUUCUGUUUUCAUUGUAAUGUGUCUAUUGGCUAUUUGGACUUUCAUUCAAUUUUUGUUUUAUUUAUUUGUUUUAAAGAUUUAUUUAUUUCAUUAUAUGUGUUGAGUGUUUUGCAUGCAUAUGCACUAGGUGCAUGCCUGGUGCCUGCAGAGGUAAGAAGAGGACAUCAAAUCCUUGGAACCAGAGUUACAGACGAUUGUGAGCUGCUGUGUGGGUGCAGGGAGUUGAACCUGGGUCCACUUCAAGGACAAUAGGAGCUAUUAACUGCUGAGCCAUCUCUCCAGCCCUUGUUUAAUUUUAAAUUCACAAAUGAAAACUACAUGUGUAUUUAUAGUGUGCCCAUGCGGUUUGGGGACAUGUGUGCCCAUGGGGUGUGGGGACAUGUGGACUGUGGACAAUCUAAAUGGAGCUACCCACCAUGCUCUUUCAACUUUGCCUCAGAGCAAAGGCGACUCGAGGGCAAUAGAAACUGCCGUGUGGCAUUUGAGUUUUUCUCUUUUCCAGCCUAGGGACAUGUGGUCCCCUGCUCCUUCUCAGUGCUGUGCGGUGUAGGACGGCAGACACCCCAGGCUGCGGCAGGAGGUGACAAGAGCACAGAUAUCUCCGGGCACUGUGUUGCUAAGCCAGGAUGUUGGGUGGCUAGGUGUAUCAAACACAUCUAGUUAUUGUUCAACUCAGGGCUGGGAAGGCAUUCAUAAAGCGCUUGUUUUGCAGGUGUGAGGACCCAAGUUUGAUCACUAGAACCCGCAUUAAAAAAAAGUCAGGAGUGUUGGCCUGCUUGGAGCCCUAGUGGGGGAGUGGGGACAGGGGAUCUCUGGGGCUGACCAGCAGCUAGUCUCCGGAAUUGGAAGUGGUGAACUCCAGGAGCAGUGAAGAACCCAGAGAGUCAGAAGAGAGAACCGGAUCCCUUGGAGCUUGAAUUACGUUGUAAUCUGUCCAACUUGGGUACUAGAAACUGAACUUUGGCCUUCCAGAAGUGCACCUAACUGCUGAGCCAUCUUCCCUGCCUCAAGACUGCCAUUUUCUAAUCAUAAAAUCAAUCCCAGCACACAGUAGGUCCUCAUUAUUGCGUAGUGAAUUAAGAUUUUCGAUGAGGUGACCUUUAGACCCUGCGUGCAGGUCCCUGUCUGCUCAACCUGAGCUACAGUCACCAUGCACACGGCCAGCACUCUUUGAGCAAUUGCUGAAUGCACAGGUCAUGUGAUCACAGGACAGAUGUUCCCAUUUUGUCUUCAGAAGAACUGCUGCCACCGUCCUGUUUACAGUCAGAAGGGCACAGGUACACAGCGGCAAAGCCAUGAGGUUUUUUGUGUGUGGGGCAGAGUUGUGUAGGCACAUCCAUGUGUGUUCCUGUCUGUGGAGGUCAGAAGCCCAUCUCAUAUGACAUUCUUUUUGUUCGUUUGGUUUUUUUAGAGAUAGGAUCUCUCUAAGUAGCUCUGGUUGUCCUGGAAUUCACUAUGUAGACUAGGUUGGCCUCGAACUCAGAGAGAUCUACUUGCCUCUGCCUCCCAGUACUAACAUUAAAGAUUAAAGGUGUGCACCACCGCCUGCUAGGUGUCAUUUUUACGUGCGUCUGUUUGCAUGUCGUGUGUGGAUGCAUAAAUGCCAAGGCAUAUGUAUGGAGUUCAGAGGAAUUGUUAGAGUGGGUUCUCUCCUUCCAUCAUGUGAGGUCCAGGAAUUAAACUCAGGUCAUCAGGAUUGGCAGGAAGCGCCUUUACCCCCCCCCCCCCCAGCCAUCUUGAUACCCUUAAUUUCUUUCUUUCUCUCACUGGCCUGCGUCUCUUUGAUUAGGCUGGUCAGUGAGCUCCA